UACGAAGGGGGCUAGCGUUGUUCGGAAUUACUGGGCGUAAAGCGCACGUAGGCGGACAUUUAAGUUAGAGGUGAAAGCCCGGGGCUCAACCCCGGAACUGCCUUUAAAACUGCAUCGCUUGAAUCCGGGAGAGGUGAGUGGAAUUCCGAGUGUAGAGGUGAAAUUCGUAGAUAUUCGGAAGAACACCAGUGGCGAAGGCGGCUCACUGGACCGGCAUUGACGCUGAGGUGCGAAAGCGUGGGGAGCAAACAGG
rnacentral:rRNA from 1 species